rnacentral:rRNA from 1 species
AUUGAACGCUGGCGGCAGGCCUAACACAUGCAAGUCGAGCGGAUGAAGGGAGCUUGCUCCUGGAUUCAGCGGCGGACGGGUGAGUAAUGCCUAGGAAUCUGCCUGGUAGUGGGGGAUAACGUCCGGAAACGGGCGCUAAUACCGCAUACGUCCUGAGGGAGAAAGUGGGGGAUCUUCGGACCUCACGCUAUCAGAUGAGCCUAGGUCGGAUUAGCUAGUUGGUGGGGUAAAGGCCUACCAAGGCGACGAUCCGUAACUGGUCUGAAAGGAUGAUCAGUCACACUGGAACUGAGACACGGUCCAGACUCCUACGGGAGGCAGCAGUGGGGAAUAUUGGACAAUGGGCGAAAGCCUGAUCCAGCCAUGCCGCGUGUGUGAAGAAGGUCUUCGGAUUGUAAAGCACUUUAAGUUGGGAGGAAGGGCAGUAAGUUAAUACCUCGCUGUUUUGACGUUACCAACAGAAUAAGCACCGGCUAACUUCGUG